rnacentral:rRNA from 1 species
GGCAGUGGCGGCUCUAUACAUGCAGUCGUACGCUUCUUUUUCCACCGGAGCUUGCUCCACCGGAAAAAGAAGAGUGGCGAACGGGUGAGUAACACGUGGGUAACCUGCCCAUCAGAAGGGGAUAACACUUGGAAACAGGUGCUAAUACCGUAUAACAAUCGAAACCGCAUGGUUUUGAUUUGAAAGGCGCUUUCGGGUGUCGCUGAUGGAUGGACCCGCGGUGCAUUAGCUAGUUGGUGAGGUAACGGCUCACCAAGGCCACGAUGCAUAGCCGACCUGAGAGGGUGAUCGGCCACAUUGGGACUGAGACACGGCCCAAACUCCUACGGGAGGCAGCAGUAGGGAAUCUUCGGCAAUGGACGAAAGUCUGACCGAGCAACGCCGCGUGAGUGAAGAAGGUUUUCGGAUCGUAAAACUCUGUUGUUAGAGAAGAACAAGGAUGAGAGUAACUGUUCAUCCCUUGACGGUAUCUAACCAGAAAGCCACGGCUAACUACGUGCCAGCAGCCGCGGUAAUACGUAGGUGGCAAGCGUUGUCCGGAUUUAUUGGGCGUAAAGCGAGCGCAGGCGGUUUCUUAAGUCUGAUGUGAAAGCCCCCGGCUCAACCGGGGAGGGUCAUUGGAAACUGGGAGACUUGAGUGCAGAAGAGGAGAGUGGAAUUCCAUGUGUAGCGGUGAAAUGCGUAGAUAUAUGGAGGAACACCAGUGGCGAAGGCGGCUCUCUGGUCUGUAACUGACGCUGAGGCUCGAAAGCGUGGGGAGCAAACAGGAUAGUCCGGGGGGGGCACACACAAAAAAAGCAAAACCGAAAAAGGUUAAUC